CCUACGGGUGGCAGCAGUGAGGAAUAUUGGUCAAUGGGCGGGAGCCUGAACCAGCCAAGUAGCGUGCAGGAUGACGGCCCUACGGGUUGUAAACUGCUUUUAUAGGGGAAUAAAGCGCCGUACGUGUACGGCUUUGCGAGUACCCGGUGAAUAAGCAUCGGCUAAUUCCGUGCCAGCAGCCGCGGUAAUACGGAAGGUGCGGGCGUUAUCCGGAGUUAUUGGGGUUAAAGGGUGCGUAGGCCGACCGUCAAGCGUGCUGUGAAAUUUCCGGGCUCAACCCCGGCCUUGCAGCGCAAACGGGGUGGCGUGAGUCGGCGGAGAGCAGGCGGAAGGCGUCGUGUAGGGGUGAAAUGGUUAGAUAUGACGAAGAACUCCGAUUGCGAAGGCAGCGUGCUGGCGCGGAACUGACGCUGAAGCACGAAGGCGCGGGUAUCGAACAGGAUUAGAUACCCUAGUAGUC
rnacentral:rRNA from 1 species